GUAGUUAGCCGUGGCUUCCUCCUCAGGUACCGUCAUUAUCGUCCCUGAAGACAGAGCUUUACAAUCCGAAGACCGUCAUCACUCACGCGGCGUUGCUGCAUCAGGGUUUCCCCCAUUGUGCAAUAUUCCCCACUGCUGCCUCCCGUAGGAGUCUGGACCGUGUCUCAGUUCCAGUGUGGCCGAUCAGCCUCUCAGCUCGGCUACCCAUCGUCGACUUGGUGGGCCGUUACCCCGCCAACUAUCUAAUGGGACGCGAACCCCUCCUAAAGCGGAUUGCUCCUUUGACCUCGUUGCCAUGUGACAUCGUGGUCUUAUGCGGUAUUAGCACCUGUUUCCAAGUGUUAUCCCCCACUCCAGGGCAGGUUGUUCACGCGUUACUCACCCGUUCGCCACUAAGUAUAAAACCGAAAUCUUAUACUCCGUUCGACUUGCAUGUGUUAGGCACGCCGCCAGCGUUCGUCCUGAACCAAGAUCAAAUUCUGA
rnacentral:rRNA from 1 species